AAUUAAAGUAGAGAAGUUCCUGAAUCCACACUGCCGAGAAAAGCUGCUAUUGCGUGAUAGGUACCCGUACCGUAAACCGACACAGGUGGAUGAGGAGAGAAUCCUAAGGCCGACGGGAGAAGCGUUGUUAAGGAACUCGGCAAAAUGACCCCGUAACUUAGGGAGAAGGGGUGCCUACUUCGGUAGGCCGCAGAGAAUAGGCCCAAGCAACUGUUUAGCAAAAACACAGGUCUCUGCUAAACCGAAAGGUGAAGUAUAGGGGCUGACGCCUGCCCGGUGCUGGAAGGUUAAGGGGAGAGGUUAGGAGUAAUCCGAAGCUUUGAACUUAAGCCCCAGUAAACGGCGGCCGUAACUAUAACGGUCCUAAGGUAGCGAAAUUCCUUGUCAGGUAAGUUCUGACCCGCACGAAAGGCGUAAUGAUUUGGGCACUGUCUCGACAGCGCACCCGGUGAAAUUGUAGUACCAGUGAAGAUGCUGGUUACCCGCGACAGGACGGAAAGACCCCGUGGAGCUUUACUGUAACUUGAUACUGAGGUUGGGUAUUACAUGUACAGGAUAGGAGGGAGGCUAAGAAGUGUGGACGCCAGUCUGCAUGGAGCCGCCGGUGGGAUACCUCUCUUGUAAUACUUAACUUCUAACCAUAGCCCGUGAUCCGGGUUUGGGACAAUGUCAGGUGGACAGUUUGACUGGGGCGGUCGCCUCCGAAAGAGUAACGGAGGCGCUCAAAGGUAACCUCAGAAUGGUCGGAAACCAUUCGUAGAGUGCAAAGGCAGAAGGUUGCUUGACUGCGACACCGACGGGUGGAGCAGGUACGAAAGUAGGACUUAGUGAUCCGGUGGUAUGAAAGUGGGAUUGCCAUCGCUCAACGGAUAAAAGCUACCCCGGGGAUAACAGGCUUAUCUCCCCCAAGAGUUCACAUCGACGGGGAGGUUUGGCACCUCGAUGUCGGCUCAUCGCAUCCUGGAGCUGAAGCAGGUUCCAAGGGUUGGGCUGUUCGCCCAUUAAAGCGGUACGCGAGCUGGGUUCAGAACGUCGUGAGACAGUUCGGUCCCUAUCCGUCGUGGGCGUAGGAAGUUUGAGAGGCGUUGUCCUUAGUACGAGAGGACCGGGAUGAACAGACCGCUGGUGCAUCUGUUAGGCUGCCAAGCCUAUAGCAGAGUAGCUAAGUCUGGAGCUGAUAAACGCUGAAGGCAUCUAAGCGUGAAACAGACCUCAAGAUAAGACUUCCCAUCCAGAAAUGGAGUAAGACCCCUUGUAGACUACGAGGUAGAUAGGUUGGAGGUGUAAGCAUGGUAACAUGUGUAGCUGACCAAUACUAACGGU
rnacentral:rRNA from 1 species